AUAAAAGCUCCCCCGUCGCAGUGCUGCUUAUUCACUCAUUAUCGCUUCUCCGCACCUGUGCUUGUGGCUGAACAGGCUUUGCCUAGGCCAGAAAGAUGUGCUCCCACGGGUCCUGCCACAACCGCCACAGGUCCUGCCAUGGCUCUAGCUCUCACUGCCAUGAAUCCAGACCCUCCUGCAAUAUUGUUGUGGUAGAGAAGCCAUACUGCUGCCCCGUGCCGCGCUACUAUCCACCCGUGUCCUGCUGCUACCCACGCUACCAGUAUUCGCAGUGCUGCAAGUUCCCACAGUACCCCAAGUGCCCUCCACAGUACCCCAAGUAGGAUAACUACAAACAGCAAGACAGAAGCCAAGACCUUUCUGUUGCAUUCUUCUUAUGGAGCUGGUUUGAGUGCCUACAGCAUGUCUUGUCUUGUUGCAAAUUCAUUUUUCCCCUCUCAUUUAAUUUGAUUUAGGAAUGUCCCUAACAUGCUUUGAAGACUUGCCCAUUGUACGAGUGUGAUGGACUUCUUCCUAAGAACCGCUUCUGGUGUCACUUACUGUUAUUCUUGUGCAUGGAACAGGAAUAAUUUCUGUACUUCUUCCUUCACCUGGAUAUGAGAUGCAAUAAAACUUAUAAUUCAAGAAAAA